CAGGAGGAGUGCUUUUGUGUUGUUUUUCUUCUUUUUAAGAGCCUAGCGGUGCUGUCCUCCCUUGCCGCCGCAGCCCCGCUCAGCGCGGCAGAGCACCCGCCAGCCCUGCUGCCAUGCACCCUUCUUGCUGGUGGGCAGCUAGAUGUGUGCUCAGGGCUGCGCUUUCCUAGGCUGAGCUCUCCUGCGCUUUCUCAUCUGCAGCCUCCUGCAGCCAGGAGCCAUGAGCUGCUCUCCGUGCCUGGAGAGCCAUCGGAGCAGCCCCCCUUCCUCGGCCUCUCGGCUCUGCUAGACGCCGUUGCUCCGAGGAGAAAGCCGUCCAUCGCUGGAGGAGAGCACUGGCUGCGCCCGGGGUCUCGCCUCGCUCCCGAGGUUUUUUGUCUAGAGGCUGCUGUCAUCUGGGCAUACUGCUCAUCUUGGGCAGGUGGGUUCACUCGAGCUUACAUUGCGGUGGCAAGAGGCAGACGGGUCUGUGUGCUGCCUGCAGGGAUGGCCGUGUGUGGUGACCUAGGAGGGUGCUGGGCAGAAAGUUUCCCUCUCCCAGGAGAGGGCAAGCGAGAGUGCCCUCAAAAGCCAGCGUUGUGCGAGAUGUCUCUAUUACCGUCGCAUGGCGCUGCACGCUCUCCGGCUCAGCCUGCUUCCCAGCUCUCUCACCAGGACAGCCGGAGACAGGAGCAGGUUUCAGCUUGUACUGUACAUACAAAAUCCUAGACUAAAAUCUGUGAACUGUCAGUUUGAUGCAGGCAACGCGUGAGACAGCAAACAUCAGAGCUGACUGGGCUUAGGCAAUUUCCCAGAACGUCAGUCCUCUGGAGAGAACAAAGGGAUCUUUCGGUGAACAGCAGAAUUUAGUUUCCUAAUGAAGAAAAAAGGAAGAGAAGAAAAAAAACCAGGAUGAUUCAGGCAUCUUUUAUCCACUGGAGCUGGGGCAGGGUGGGGGGAACUAUUCAAACUGGAUCUUCUCUAAGCUGGUAUGAGAUGGCGGAGCACACUGAUCUCUCCCCCGCGGAGGGAGAGUGACCGUCAGUGCGGCGAGGCCAGCCAGGAGGGAUUCUUUUGCCUGGGGUACGGCUCGGAGGGAGAGCAGAGGCACUAACCCGGGGGGCUGUCUGCGAGGCACCGUCCUGUGUCUGCACUGAGCUCAGAAGAGAGAAUUAAAACAGCAAGCCCACACUGGCUUUCAUGCACAAAUGCAUGCACAUGGAUAUAUAAUUUCCCCUUUACAUCAUGUUCUUUGCUCAAAGCAAAGAGCAGGCUGCAUAGGCUCAACCUGAUGCAUGCAAAAAAGGGCCUCAUGUUCUUGUGCGAGAGGGGCUUGCGGAAAGGUAUUUCUAGCUUCUUGUCGUUACCUAUUUUACGGUAAAGCCAUGUGAUGCAUGAAUGCAGAAUGAGACCCCAGAAUGGCUUCUGGGCAAAAGAGACCAGCCAGACAAUGACAAAGGGGUUUUAUGCCGUUUUUACAGUGUGGAGCACAAGGAAAGUGAGCCUGUGCGAGCCAAGCACUCACAUCCUGUCAAAACUGAGUGGGGGUUGGAGGCCGAGCGCGUUCGGCUCGGCUGUGAGCCCAGCCGAGCGCGCGGAGCAACUUGCCUGACAAAGCGGAGCCCAGAGUCCAACUGGGAACUCGUCUGUGCUUUGAGGUCUCUUGCAGUGGACUGGGACAGCAGGUGGCUUGGACAGGCCCCAGGAAGGAAGAGCCAACAGCUCUUGG
ensembl:lncRNA